rnacentral:rRNA from 1 species
GGUGUAGGCGGAUAGGAUAGUCGGAUGUGAAAGUCCAGGGCUCAACCCUGGAAGUGCAUCCGAUACUACUUAUCUUGAGUACUGGAGAGGAUAGUGGAAUUCCUGGUGUAGCGGUGAAAUGCGUAGAUAUCAGGAGGAACAUCGGUGGCGAAGGCGGCUAUCUGGCCAUGUACUGACGCUCAGACCCGAAAGCGUGGGUAGCAAACA